UACAGAGGGUGCGAGCGUUAAUCGGAAUUACUGGGCGUAAAGCGUGCGUAGACGGUAGCGUAAGUCGGGUGUGAAAGCCCCGGGCUCAACCUGGGAAUUGCAUUCGAGACUGCUCUGCUAGGGUGCGGAAGAGGGAAGCGGAAUUCCCGGUGUAGUGGUGAAAUGCGUAGAGAUCGGAGGAACACCAGUGGCGAAGGCGGCUACCUGGACCAGCACUGACCACUGAAGCACGGAAAGCGUGG
rnacentral:rRNA from 1 species